rnacentral:rRNA from 1 species
CCUACGGGGGGCAGCAGUAGGGAAUCUUUCACAAUGGGCGAAAGCCUGAUGGAGCAACGCCGCGUGCAGGAUGAAGGCCUUCGGGUUGUAAACUGCUUUUAUAAGCGAGAAAUAUGAUGGUAACUUAUGAAUAAGGAUCGACUAACUACGUGCCAGCAGCCGCGGUCAUACGUAGGAUCCGAGCAUUAUCCGGAGUGACUGGGUGUAAAGAGUUGCGUAGGUGGCAUAAGAAGUAGCUGGUGAAAUCUGGUGGCGCAACCAUUCAGACUAUUAUCUAAACUGGUAAGCUCGAGACCGUUAGAGGUAAGUGGAAUUUCUGGUGUAGGAGUGAAAUGCGUAGAUAUUAGGAGGAACACCGAUAGCGUAGGCAGGUUGCUGGGACGGUUCUGACGCUGAGGCACGAAAGCGUAGGGAGCAAACGGGAUUAGAUACCCUAGUAGUC